rnacentral:sRNA from 1 species
CAUUAUCUCAAGACGCCUAAACAUUUCUUAAGAAAAAAAAAGAUCAAAUCUUAGAGAAUGAUGAAUCUCAUCUACUUGGUGAUCUGUAUCGCUUUCCUGAUCCUAAUGGCUGAAGUCAGCUGGGCACUUCCAUUAGAUGAGGAGGAGUUUUUGAGAGAGAAGAGGAUUGGUAGCAAUGUGCUUGCCUCGCUGGCUGGAUAAUAUAACAAGUUAUAACAGACAAUAGAAUAAUACAAUGCAAGGCCAUAAGAAAUUUUGAUGGUUUAUGAAUGUGCAAUAAAAAUGAAAGUUGAAAAAAU